UACGUAGGGGGCUAGCGUUGUCCGGAAUCAUUGGGCGUAAAGAGCGUGUAGGCGGCCCGGUAAGUCCGCUGUGAAAGUCGGGGGCUCAACCCUCGAAUGCCGGUGGAUACUGUCGGGCUAGAGUGCGGAAGAGGCGAGUGGAAUUCCUGGUGUAGCGGUGAAAUGCGCAGAUAUCAGGAGGAACACCGAUGGCGAAGGCAGGUCUCUGGGCCAUGACUGACGCUGAGAAGCGAAAGCAUGGGGAGCGAACAGG
rnacentral:rRNA from 1 species